rnacentral:tRNA from 1 species
CAGGGAGACAACACAAUGAUUUUGAUGCCUGAGUGCUUUUAUUCUUAGGCCGAAAUCCUGUCACCUUAGGUCGAUCGGUACCUCAGCUUUGAAGUCAAGGAUCAGCAGCAAUGUUGAUUGCUUGAUGGAGAUUUUCAGUUCCUAAACUUUGUCUAGGUCACACCCCAAAAGGGAUGAGACUCCUGGGCCAUUAGCUCAGGUGGUUAGAGCGCACCCCUGAUAAGGGUGAGGUCCCUGGUUCAAGUCCAGGAUGGCCCAUUCGGUGUUGGGGGUUUAGCUCAGUUGGUAGAGCGCCUGCUUUGCAAGCAGGAUGUCAGGAGUUCGAGUCUCCUAACCUCCACUGACCGAACUUGAUUCCCAUCUCCAAAAUUUUUGGAGUUGAGCUCGAUUGGAGUGUGAUUUAGAUGUGUCCGCUGGAUGACCCCAGCUUCCUGUCAUUCCAAGUUUUAGGUUGAUGCCUUGAAUUUGGUUGAUAAGAUGCUGGGCUCGGAUCAAAUGAUCAAGCAAUUGAUGAUUUGAUUUGAAGUUCUAGCAGAACCUUGACAACUGCAUAGGUGAGUCUGGAAAAAACAAAGCAUCUUACAGAUGCAUUGUUUUGAAUCUGAUCUUCUGAAAGGGAGAUUGGAUCUAGAACAAUGAAAAUUCUUUUGAGCAAGAGCCGAGACUCUUGAGCGUUCUUUGAUUGGUGUCGAGCCAAUCAGAGUUUGAUCUUGUUUUUAGCAAUAAAGACUUGAGAAUCUGCUUUCAACGGCGGUAAGCGUUCAAGAGGUUAAUU